GACGAACGCUGGCGGCGUGCCUAAUACAUGCAAGUCGAACGAGUGGCGGACGGGUGAGUAACACGUGGGAACCUACCCAUCAGAGGGGGAUAACUACUGGAAACGGUAGCUAAUACCGCAUACCAUCAGAUGUUCCCAGAUUGGUUUAGCUAGUGGGUGGGGUAAUGGCUCACCUAGGCGACGAUCCCUACCUGGUCUUCGAGGAUGACCAGCGACACUGGAACUGAGACACGGUCCAGACGCCUACGGGAGGCAGCAGUGGGGAAUAUUGCACAAUGGGCGCAAGCCUGAUGCAGCCAUGCCGCGGGUGUGAAGAAGGCCUUCGGGUUGUAAAGCACUUUCAGCGAGGAGGCGUUACUCGCAGAAGAAGCACCGGCUAACUCCGUGCCAGCAGCCGCGGUAAUAC
rnacentral:rRNA from 1 species